rnacentral:rRNA from 1 species
GAUGAACGCUGGCGGCGUGCCUAAUACAUGCAAGUCGAGCGAACGGACGAGAAGCUUGCUUCUCUGAUGUUAGCGGCGGACGGGUGAGUAACACGUGGAUAACCUACCUAUAAGACUGGGAUAACUUCGGGAAACCGGAGCUAAUACCGGAUAAUAUUUUGAACCGCAUGGUUCAAAAGUGAAAGACGGUCUUGCUGUCACUUAUAGAUGGAUCCGCGCUGCAUUAGCUAGUUGGUAAGGUAACGGCUUACCAAGGCAACUAUGCAUAGCCGACCUGUGAGGGUGAUCGGCCACACGGGAGCGGAGACACGGUCCAGACUCCUACGGGAGGCAGCAGUAGGGAAUCUUCCGCAGUGGUCGAAAGCCUGACGGAGCAACGCCGCGUGAGUUAUGAAGGUCUUCGGAUCGUAAAACUCUGUUAUUAGGUAAGAACAUAUGUGUAAGUAACUGUGCACAGCUUGACGGUACCUAAUCAGAAAGCCACGGCUAACUACGUG